rnacentral:rRNA from 1 species
CCUACGGGAGGCAGCAGUGGGGAAUAUUGGACAAUGGGCGAAAGCCUGAUCCAGCAAUUCCGCGUGUGUGAAGAAGGCCUUCGGGUUGUAAAGCACUUUAGUGGGGGAAGAAACAGCUUGGCCACACCAAGCCUUGACGGUACCCCCAAGAAUAAGCACCGGCUAACUCUGUGCCAGCAGCCGCGGUAAUACAGAGGGUGCAAGCGUUAAUCGGAUUUACUGGGCGUAAAGGGUGCGUAGGUGGCUAUUUAAGUCGGAUGUGAAAGCCCGGGGCUCAACCUCGGAAUUGCAUUCGAUACUGAGUGGCUAGAGUUCGGUAGAGGGCGGCGGAAUUUCCGGUGUAGCGGUGAAAUGCGUAGAUAUCGGAAGGAACAUCAAUGGCGAAGGCAGCCGCCUGGGCCUGGACUGACACUGAGGCACGAAAGCGUGGGUAGCAAACAGGAUUAGAUACCCUGGUAGUCCACGCCGUAAACGAUGAGAACUUGACGUUGGUUCGUUUUACGAAUCGGUGUCGCNGCUACGCGAUAGUUCUCCGCCGUGGGAGGUACGGCCGGCGAGGUUAGUAACGUAACGUAAUAGUUAGUUAGUACGGCGUUGAGACGNGCCGACGGACGACGACGAGGGAGGAGG